rnacentral:tRNA from 1 species
GGAGGGAUAGCGAAGAGGCUAAACGCGGCGGACUGUAAAUCCGCUCCCUUUGGGUUCGAAGGUUCGAAACCUUCUCCCUCCACCA